rnacentral:lncRNA from 1 species
UAUUACUCCACAUCUCCUGCCUUUGCCCACCUGCAUUGUAUCUGUGCCUGAGCCCCGGCUGGUGGCCUGCAAGGAUCCCCUAUCUCCUCUGCCCCUGCACGGCUGGGUCCCAGGCAAUCUGUCCGCCCACCACGCCUCUCUCACCUUGCCCACCACGCUCCAGCCCCACAGUCCUCUUUCUGCUUCUUUCCCAGCCUCUGGGCUUUUACACACGCUGUUCUCUCUGCAUGAACACGCUCCAAUGGGCUGAGAACAACUCUCUGAGACCUCUCUCAGCUGUUGCUUCCUUUGGAACAGCCGCUGCUGCUGUCCCUCUCCCAGCUCCAAGACCUGCUGAGCCUCCUGUCUUUUUCAGUUCCCAUGCCCCCAGCACUUCUCCUUGGCCUCCUUUGGCCCAAUUGACAAUGUCCAUUCUCAACGCCUUCUCACCCAGCGCUGAGCCCCACUGGGUGAAGGCAAUGCCUGUCAUAUUCACCACAAUAUCCCCUCCCCUAUCACCAUGACUGGUCCACAGUGAUGCUCAAAAAACAUCUGUUGUUAGGCAAUGGGAAGGUGCAUUCAUGUCAUCCUGCAGGCGGAAUUCUCCACGAGUUUUGAGCAGCCUCGGUUUUCCCACCACCUCCAAAUCAUGCAAGACACAGGGUAAGAGCAAAGACAAGGUGGCUGUGGCCGAUGUCCACCCUCGCGGGGCGUCCCUUCUCUUCUCUCCUCCUUGGGCAGGGAGACCAUCGGGGUGCAACCAGGCUGGGGAGGGGAGGAGAUGCAGGGCCUGGCCAGCGCGGGCCUGGCCACGGGCAAGGGACAGCGACCUCCUGGGCCAAGACAGGUGAGCGCAGCGCAGGCCCGGGCCCAGCGUGUCCGCCGUGCGCAGGAGCGGCCAGCAGAGGGCACCAGAGAGCCAGGAGCCGCCCGCGGAGGAGCCGGCGCCGGCCCCAAUGCCCAGCUCCGCGCCGCGCGGACCCACCGAGCCUGCGCUCAGACGCCCCAACUCCGCCGAGAGGCCGCUCGCGCCGGGUCCUUCCUCUUCCCCAAGUGCAGGCAGAGCCACUGGAGCCAUGGCCAGCCCUUCUGGCAGCUCCGAAGCCACUGGCAAGCCCUGAGGCAGGGAUCGCCGGCCCAGGAGGGAGGAGGACGACGUCCCUCCCGAAGAGAAGAGGCUGCGGCUGUUGCUGGAGGGGGAAGCGCACAGCCCGAGGACUGCGAGGACGGGGAGGACGCGCCGCGGCCGGGCAGGGAGGAGACCGGCACCCAGACAGGUGGCGAUGGCAGAGGAGAAGGAAAAUACAUGUACAGCCAACUUCCUAG